ACGCGAUCAAGGAACACUUAUUGGACCCCAGUGUAGCUGCUGGCCACUGCACAAGAUUAGACAUAAGACUCUUGUGCGUGUGACAGCGGCUAUGAUGGGGCUUCCACGGAA
rnacentral:pre_miRNA from 1 species